CCCCUUUUCAUUGGCGACCGAAACACCUAUAUCAGUUUCGUUGGCUUUCGGGCCAUCUAUGGCAAUAAACGGUCGGUGUAAUAAACCUAUUGGACCCGGGGGCGGUACCCGGCGCCUCCACCAAAAACCGGUCGGUCUCCCGAACUAUGGGCGUGACCGGCUUUUGAUGGGGGCGAAAUAGGAUCGACAAGGGCGUAAAGAUCGAACUUUUGCUCGGCAUGAUACCGCCGUUAUCGGGUCACAAGUGUAGUUGCAAACGACAACAACGCUAAGGGUUAUGCUCUCGCUGCCUAAUGGCGGUGCGGGAAAUCCGAACCAAGUCCUCUAGGUUAGCCCCUUGAGGCGGGGUCCGAAGGCACCUGGCAACAGAAGCCUUCACC
rnacentral:tmRNA from 1 species